UACGUAGGGUGCAAGCGUUAAUCGGAAUUACUGGGCGUAAAGCGUGCGCAGGCGGUUGUGCAAGUCCGAUGUGAAAUCCCCGGGCUUAACCUGGGAAUGGCAUUGGUGACUGUACGGCUAGAGUGUGUCAGAGGGGGGUAGAAUUCCACGUGUAGCAGUGAAAUGCGUAGAGAUGUGGAGGAAUACCGAUGGCGAAGGCAGCCCCCUGGGAUGACACUGACGCUCAUGCACGAAAGCGUGGGGAGCAAACAGG
rnacentral:rRNA from 1 species